rnacentral:rRNA from 1 species
UACGAAGGGGGCUAGCGUUGCUCGGAAUCACUGGGCGUAAAGGGUGCGUAGGCGGGUCUUUAAGUCAGGGGUGAAAUCCUGGAGCUCAACUCCAGAACUGCCUUUGAUACUGAAGAUCUUGAGUUCGGGAGAGGUGAGUGGAACUGCGAGUGUAGAGGUGAAAUUCGUAGAUAUUCGCAAGAACACCAGUGGCGAAGGCGGCUCACUGGCCCGAUACUGACGCUGAGGCACGAAAGCUAGGGGAGCAAACAGG